rnacentral:rRNA from 1 species
UACGUAGGGUGCAAGCGUUAAUCGGAAUUACUGGGCGUAAAGCGUGCGCAGGCGGUUUUGUAAGUCUGUCGUGAAAGCCCCCGGGCUCAACCUGGGAAUUGCGAUGGAGACUGCAAGGCUUGAAUCUGGCAGAGGGGGGGUAGAAUUCCACGUGUAGCAGUGAAAUGCGUAGAGAUGUGGAGGAACACCGAUGGCGAAGGCAGCCCCCCUGGGUCAAGAUUGACGCUCAUGCACGAAAGCGUGGGGGAGCAAACAGG